AGAGAUUGGAAGAGAACAUAGUCAAAACUGACCUGGAUCAAUUGACCCAACCUGGCCAAAGGGAUGUUCUGCCCUGUAAAAUGUGCCACUCGGCUACAAUAACUGGCAGUGGAAGAAGGAUGAGGAUUUGUUUUCCAGGGUGGCUGUUUGUACUGGCGUUGGUCUGCCUGUGGGAGGUGUCCAUACCUGCAACCUGCUGGGGAGGGCAGGAGAAUGAGAAAGUGGCUAUGAUGGUGCUUGCCUGUUGGCUGGAUCAACCUACCACACUAGGAAUCAAAAAGGCUUGCUCAAGAAGACUUCUCAGAAGCUAAACAGAGAAUGAAAGACCUAGAUUCCUGUUGGGAUACACAGAGGGGUUGCAGCCUUUCCUUGAGGCCCCGAAGAACUGUAUUUAUGCUCUUCCCUUUAGAGACUGUGCAAGCC